rnacentral:rRNA from 1 species
AAAUCGCGCGAUCGCCUUGAGUUGAUCAUGGCUCGAAUCACGCUGGCGGCGUGCCUAACACAUGCAAGUCGAACGCGAAAGGGGCUUCGGCCCUGAGUAGAGUGGCGAACGGGUGAGUAACACGUGGGUGAUCUACCUUCGAGUGGGGGAUAACGUUCCGAAAGGAGCGCUAAUACCGCAUGACGUUCCGGGUUUGAAGACCUGGAAACCAAAGCCGGGGACCGCAAGGCCUGGCGCUAGAAGAGGAGCCCGCGCCUGAUUAGCUAGUUGGUGAGGUAACGGCUCACCAAGGCGACGAUCAGUAGCCGGCCUGAGAGGGCGGACGGCCACACUGGGACUGAGACACGGCCCAGACUCCUACGGGAGGCAGCAGUGGGGAAUUGUUCGCAAUGGGCGCAAGCCUGACGACGCAACGCCGCGUGGAGGAUGAAGGUCUUCGGAUUGUAAACUCCUGUUGAUCGGGACGAAUGGGCUUCGGGUGAAUAUCCCGAAGCAGUGACGGUACCGAUUGAGGAAGCCACGGCUAACUCUGUGCCAGCAGCCGCGGUAAUACAGAGGUGGCAAGCGUUGUUCGGAAUUACUGGGCGUAAAGGGCGCGUAGGCGGCCUUCUUAGUCAGACGUGAAAUCCCCCGGCUUAACCUGGGAACUGCGUCUGAUACUGGAAGGCUGGAGUUCGGGAGAGGGAUGUGGAAUUCCAGGUGUAGCGGUGAAAUGCGUAGAUAUCUGGAGGAACACCGGUGGCGAAGGCGGCAUCCUGGACC